GGGGAGGCCAAGUGCCACUUGCAGCAGACUCAAGGGCGUCAACAUCACCUGAAAAGAUGUGCCACAACAAGGCUGAGCGACUAUGCUCAACAAGACUUAACCGACCGGUGGUUCUAAUCCACCAACACCUAGACAUGCAAGCUCUUAGGCUCUGGGGUUUGUUUUGCCAAAAGCGACUAUAGUAAGUCCUUACUUUCAAUAUUUUA
rnacentral:lncRNA from 1 species